GGACGAACGCUGGCGGCGUGCUUAACACAUGCAAGUCGAACGGAAAGGCCCUGCUUUUGUGGGGUGCUCGAGUGGCGAACGGGUGAGUAACACGUGAGUAACCUGCCCUUGACUUUGGGAUAACUUCAGGAAACUGGGGCUAAUACCGGAUAGGAGCUCCUGCUGCAUGGUGGGGGUUGGAAAGUUUCGGCGGUUGGGGAUGGACUCGCGGCUUAUCAGCUUGUUGGUGGGGUAGUGGCUUACCAAGGCUUUGACGGGUAGCCGGCCUGAGAGGGUGACCGGCCACAUUGGGACUGAGAUACGGCCCAGACUCCUACGGGAGGCAGCAGUGGGGAAUAUUGCACAAUGGGCGGAAGCCUGAUGCAGCAACGCCGCGUGCGGGAUGACGGCCUUCGGGUUGUAAACCGCUUUCGCCUGCGACGAAGCGUGAGUGACGGUAAUGGGUAAAGAAGCACCGGCUAACUACGUG
rnacentral:rRNA from 1 species